rnacentral:ncRNA from 1 species
GAGAAGUUUUAUUCUUGCUUAUUUGUUUAUUUGUACUUUAUUAUAUAUGUGAGGUUUUGCUUAUUGUGGGUAUUUAUCUAAAUGGUAAUAUGUAAUUGGGUUGCAGUAUAGAAUAUUAUAUAUUUAUGGGAGUGUGAUAUAGUGAUUGUAUUUAGUAUCGAUUAAAUAUGUGCCAGCAGUCGCGGUUAUACAUGAGAUGUAAGUAAAUAUAAUUGGUUUGUAGUUAAUUUGAUAGUAUGAAUUUAUUUUAAUUAUUGUUUGGUGGAAUAUUAAUUUUUUGUUUAGGUUUAGAGGUUUGAGUAAUAUGAAGCUAUGAAAUCUAAGGUAUUAAACUAGGAUUAGAUACCCUAUUAUUUUAGAUGUAAAAUUGUAACUUGGGUAGUAAUUGGUGUGAUCUUGAAACCCAAAGAAUUUGGCGGUAUUUUAGUCUAUUUAGAGGAAUCUGUUUCGUGAUCGAUAGUCCGCGUUGGAUCUUACUUAAUUUGGUGUAAGUAUGUAUACCGCUGUUGAAAAUGUCUUUUUAGGGAUAAUUUUUAUUGUAUUAAUGAUUGAUAAUUAAUCAAGUCAAGGUGCAGCUUAUGAUUAAGUGAUAAUGGAUUACAUUGUUUUAGUAUAUAUGGAUUAUUGGUUGUAAUAUUGAUAUGAAGGUGGAUUUAAUAGUAAAGUUGUGGAGAUUGUCAAUUUGAUUUUGGCUCUAUAAUAUGUACACAUCGCCCGUCGCUCUCAUUAUAAGUUGAGAUAAGUCGUAACAUAGUAGUUGUACUGGAAAGUGUAGCUGGAAUGAU